rnacentral:rRNA from 1 species
GAUGAACGCUGGCGGCGUGCCUAACACAUGCAAGUCGAACGGAGUUACUUUGACAGAUCCCUUCGGGGUGACGUUGAUUUAACUUAGUGGCGGACGGGUGAGUAACGCGUGAGCAACCUGCCUCGGAGAGGGGGACAACAGCUGGAAACGGCUGCUAAUACCGCAUAAUGUAUCAAUUUCGCAUGAUAUUGAUACCAAAGGAGAAAUCCACUCUGAGAUGGGGCUCGCGUCUGAUUAGCUAGUUGGUGAGGUAACGGCCCGACCAAGGCGACGAUCAGUAGCCGGCCUGAGAGGGUGAACGGCCACAUUGGGACUGAGACACGGCCCAAACUCCUACGGGAGGCAGCAGUGGGGAAUAUUGCACAAUGGGGGGAAACCCUGAUGCAGCAACGCCGCGUGAGUGAAGAAGUAUUUCGGUAUGUAAAGCUCUAUCAGCAGGGAAGAUACAAGACAGUACCUGUAGAAUAAGCUCCGGCU